rnacentral:tmRNA from 1 species
GGGGAUGCACCGGCUUCGACCGGUACGCUUCGGGGUAUAGACUGCAGGUGGAGCGCCCAUCUCCUGAUUGGGCAAAAAUUUAACUGCCAAUAAUACUGUCAGUUACGAUUACGCCUUAGCUGCAUAAUCGCGUGGAACUGUCCCGCCGCUCUGAGGGACAACUUCUGCGUCGCAAUCAGAGCUGGUUUUAAUACAGUAUCCGGUGGUAUUAAGAUAAGAUUUUCCGGAAUACGGACAGACCGCGCGCCGUUUAGCCAAGCCUGUCCCGACAAUACAAUAAACGGCUAAAUCUGUAGAUGUCUAUGUUUCGCGUAUUGGGACGCGGGUUCGAUUCCCGCCAUCUCCACUA